AGCAAUGAUGUUUGUAAUUUGAGUCAGAUGACAAGUUAGGUGACAGUUGCAUUCUGUCAUAUGCCUUAUUGUCUAAAUGAUGAUGACAUUGUACUGAGCU